rnacentral:antisense_RNA from 1 species
GAGGACAGCUCAGGGAAGCUUCUUGGGAAAUGAAUUCUGGGAGUUCCCUCUGCCAAGGACCCACUGUGUUAAGAGCUUUAAGGUGAAUGUCCACUUCGAGGCCGGCUCAACCACCGUCUUCAGAGAACUCUCCCACACUGGCCACAGCCUAUCUGCCAGCGUCACCCACUGUCUAGGUCUUUGCCCAUAAUGUGUCAAGGGCAAAACAGAGGGGUGGAUAUGAUGCACGUGCCUCAGCCCGGGGCCCGUACAUGGCUGGCGUCCAGGUAACGCAGGCCUGGGGCAGACAUUCCUUACACAGCUCCCACCCUACUCUCAAGUCCACAUUUAGGCAGCCAGGCCACCUUAGCCUUGGAGGGAAGGACACCAACGGGGCCCGCCUUACCAGCAGUCAGAAACAGACCCACAUCCCAGUGGGCACCCAAGGCUUCUUUCCUUAGGCCCCAUCCCAUUUAGGAAGUUGGGAAACCCACUGGGUGAGCCCAAAGGCUACCAAAGCCUG